rnacentral:rRNA from 1 species
UACGUAGGGUGCAAGCGUUGUCCGGAAUUAUUGGGCGUAAAGAGCUCGUAGGCGGUCUGUCACGUCGGCUGUGAAAUCCCGAGGCUCAACCUCGGGUCUGCAGUCGAUACGGGCAAACUAGAGUAUUGCAGGGGAGACUGGAAUUCCUGGUGUAGCGGUGGAAUGCGCAGAUAUCAGGAGGAACACCGAUGGCGAAGGCAGAUCUCUGGGCCGUUACUGACGCUGAGGAGCGAAAGCGUGGGGAGCGAACAGG